GAACUGAAGAGUUUGAUCCUGGCUCAGAUUGAACGCUGGCGGCAUGCUUUACACAUGCAAGUCGAACGGUAACAGGGUGCUUGCACCGCUGACGAGUGGCGAACGGGUGAGUAACGCAUCGGAAUGUACCGUGUAAUGGGGGAUAGCUCGGCGAAAGCCGGAUUAAUACCGCAUACGCCCUGAGGGGGAAAGUGGGGGACCGUAAGGCCUCACGUUAUACGAGCAGCCGAUGUCUGAUUAGCUAGUUGGUGGGGUAAAGGCUCACCAAGGC
rnacentral:rRNA from 1 species